UACGAAGGGUGCAAGCGUUACUCGGAAUUACUGGGCGUAAAGCGUGCGUAGGUGGUUUGUUAAGUCUGAUGUGAAAUCCCCCGGGCUCAACCUGGGAAUGGCAAUGGAUACUGGAUAGCUAGAGUGUGAUAGAGGAUGGUGGAAUUCCCGGUGUAGCGGUGAAAUGCGUAGAGAUCGGGAGGAACAUCAGUGGCGAAGGCGGCCAUCUGGAUCAACACUGACGCUGAGGCACGAAAGCGUGGGGAGCAAACAGGGA
rnacentral:rRNA from 1 species